GGCUGGUCCGAUGGUAGUGGGUUAUCAGAACUUAUUAACAUUAGUGUCACUAAAGUUGACAUACAACCCCCCACUGCUAAAUUUGACUGGCUAAAA
rnacentral:Y_RNA from 1 species